rnacentral:rRNA from 1 species
AACGAACGCUGGCGGCAGGCCUAACACAUGCAAGUCGAGCGCGCCCUUCGGGGUGAGCGGCGGACGGGUUAGUAACGCGUGGGAAUAUGCCCAGAUCUGCGGAAUAGCCUCUGGAAACGGAGAGUAAUACCGCAUACGCCCUUCGGGGGAAAGAUUUAUCGGAUUUGGAUUAGCCCGCGUUGGAUUAGGUAGUUGGUGGGGUAAUGGCCUACCAAGCCGACGAUCCAUAGCUGGUUUGAGAGGAUGAUCAGCAACACUGGGACUGAGACACGGCCCAGACUCCUACGGGAGGCAGCAGUGGGGAAUCUUAGACAAUGGGGGAAACCCUGAUCUAGCCAUGCCGCGUGAGUGACGAAGGCCCAGGGUCGUAAAGCUCUUUCAGCUGUGAAGAUAAUGACGGUAGCAGCAGAAGAAACCCCGGCUAACUCCGUG